AGCUUAGUGGCGGACGGGUGAGUAACACGUGAGCAACCUGCCUUUCAGAGUGGAAUAACGUUUGGAAACGAACGCUAAUACCGCAUAAUGUCAGAGGAUGGCAUCAUUCUUUGACCAAAGAUUUAUCGCUGAAAGAUGGGCUCGCGGCCGAUUAGGUAGUUGGUGAGAUAAUAGCCCACCAAGCCGACGAUCGGUAGCCGGACUGAGAGGUUGAACGGCCACAUUGGGACUGAGACACGGCCCAGACUCC
rnacentral:rRNA from 1 species